UAUUCAAUAUAGUUCUGGAGGUUCUAGCCAGAGCUAUUAGGCAAGAAAAAGAAAUUAAAGGGAUACAAAUUGGGAAGGAAGAACUCAAACUAUCACUCUUUGCAGAUGACAUGAUUCUGUAUUUAGGGGACCCAAAGAACUCUACUAAGAGACUAUUGGAACUCAUAGAAGAGUUUGGCAAAGUAGCAGGGUAUAAAAUCAAUGCACAAAAAUCAACAGCCUUUGUAUACACAGACAAUGCCAUGGCUGAGGAAGAACUUCUAAGAUCAAUCCCAUUCACAAUAGCUACAAAAACAAUCAAAUACCUUGGAAUAAACUUAACCAAAGACGUUAAAGAUCUCUACGAUGAAAAUUACAAAACCUUAAAGAAAGAAAUAGAAGAGGAUACCAAGAAAUGGAAAAAUCUUCCAUGCUCAUGGAUUGGAAGAAUCAAUAUCAUCAAAAUGUCCAUUCUCCCAAAAGCAAUUUACAGAUUCAAUGCAAUACCAAUCAAGAUACCAAAGACCUUCUUCUCAGAUCUGGAAAAAAUGGUGCUGAAAUUUAUAUGGAGGCACAAGAGACCUCGAAUAGCUAAAGCAAUCUUGUACAACAAAAACAAAGCCGGAGGCAUCACAAUACCAGAUUUCAGGAAGCCAAUUUGAAGGAGAAAAACUGAAUUCUAUUUGGAGAAAUACAAUUUCUAGAGUUUAUGAAGUUACAAAACAAUAAUAUGUACCCCCAAAUCACAACGUAUGCAAGGAAAUAACUUACUGAGAGUGCAAGACAGUUGAAAAAAGCAAAGCGUGUUUGCUCAAAUAUGAAAUACUGAAAUUGUGAGACACAAAUUCACUUACCAUGGUAAAAGAAACUAAAGAGAAGCUUUAAACAUGAGCAAGAAUAAAAACUCUAAAAUAAUAGUAAAUACUCUAGAAAUUAAAAAUGAAAUAGUAAAAUAAUUUAUGAAUGUCUAAAUAGAUAGUUAAAUCGAGAGUUGGAAAAUUCAGUUAUGGCUGUAGAAAUUGUAUGUAAAACAAAGUAGAAGUGAAGAUGAUGGAAUAAUCGGGGGGUUAUGAGCAUGACAUAAUCAAAUGAUAAGUUCUAGCAUGCAUCGGACUGAAGACCCAGCCGAUGUUCAAAUAUGGCUUCUUCCUUCCUCUGCUCUUUGAUUUCCUUAUUGUCCUCUUUCAAGGCGAUUGAAGAUUUUUCACAAUUGUUCAAAGUCACCAACCUUUACACAAGAGAAAUCCAGUAAAACUCAGGUGAUACAAAGAAAAAGAAUUUUACACCUUGAAAAACUAAUCAAACUGAAGCAAGGAAGAACAAAAGCUCUUAAAAGAAUUGCGAUUAUAUUGUGACUGACUUCCUAAUAGUGUUUCGGAAAGCCAGAAGAUUCUCACUAAGCUGACUCUAAAGGAAGCACUUCAAGUGUUAGAAAAGUGACCUCAGACAGAAUUUUGGAAUGAAACAAAAAAGGAUUCUGUAGGUAUUGCUAAAUGUGACACAAGAGUAGUGAUGCUUAAUUUAUGAGUAAUAAAACAGGCUAGAAAAAAUAAUUUGGAAGACAGUAACGGGAGCCCAUGUUGGCAGCUUGAAUAUUAUUUCAAACAUAUAUGGAACUGUAUGAAAAUUAAUUUUGUGUUCAACUCUUAAGAUUGCUUUGCAAGUGUUUAAAGGAUCAGUAUCACAUAGAUUUCAUUUUCUUACUUUAAUGCAGUUUAGAAAGCAAUAACCAUGAAAACAAAAAACCAGAAAUUCUAGGUAUAUGGAGAAUUUUAAGACAUUACAUAUAAGAUAAAUUAAAACAUUUAAAGCCAAAUGAAAAUAAGAAUUCUUUACAUCAAAACUUAAACUAGAUUUUUACACUUGAUGCUAGCCAAAAGGCCGAGAAGGAAGUGCAACUUCAUUUUCAAAAGGUUUAUUUUAUUUAUUUAAAAGGCAGCAUUACAGAGAGAAAGAGAGGGAGAGGCAGAGAGCAAGAGGUCUUCCAUCCUCUGAUUCACUCUCUAAAUGAUGGCAACAGAUGGUGCUGGGCCAGGCCAAAGCGGAAGGUGGGAGCUUCUUCCUGGUCUCCCACACAGGUGCAGGGGCCCAAGCACUUGUACCAUCUCCUCUUUCCCAGGGGUAUUAGCAGGAAACUGUAUCAGAACUGGAGCAGCCAGGACUCGUGCCAGUGCCCAUACGGGAUGCUGGUGCUGCAGGCAGUAGUUAACCCGCUACGGCACAGCACUGGUGCAGUAAAACUGUUGACACUACCGUAAAUGCUGAGUCACUGAACAAAAUAACUAAAUGACACAAGAAUGCAUAUGCUUUGUGUUCAUUUAUAUAAAUUUCAAAAACAGGAAAGACAUACCAUAUAUUGUAUUUAUUAACAGGGUUGCUGAGGUAUUAAAGAAGAGUAAGGGAAUUAUUAAUGAAAAUCUGAGAAUGGCAAUUUCUUCUGCUGAGAAGGAAGAAGGAGGCACUCACUUGAGAAGGGGCAUAAAUGUAAUUCUAAUUCCUGGUGGUUCUCUGUUAAACGUUUGUUCUUUAACCUAUACACUUGAUUGGAGCUCAGAUAUGACCCUUCAUUGUGGCCCUUCCAUAAGUUUUAUAAACCGCAGCAGAAGUGACAACAUAAUGUACUGUCUGGAUUGGACAGGACUGGAGCUGGUUAGUCUCUUGGUACUGAGGAUUUGUUCCUUGGGGAUCAGGAACCUGGAUCUGGCCUUGGCUUCCCUCUUCUGGGGCAAUGAUGCCGUUUCCUUCUAGGUCAAGUCGCCUGGGCUCAAGAUGCUGUCUCUCUGGUCCCCACUCAGCAAGGUGGAAGUCAUGGCUGAAUGUGUUUGUGAUCUGAGGACUUUAUCAUCAGGAUGAUCUCUCCAGUCUUUAAGCUUUUAAUGGGCUGAACACCUAGUAAUGACCUUGUUAGGAAUAGAAUCCCUCAAUUCUUAAAAAAUUAGGCAGAUGAUCCUGUGUAGAGAAAUCCUGAAUUUGUCUUGGAGAGGAGUUUUUACUGAAAUGAGGCAUGCGUAGGACAAAGCAUUCCUCAUGGCAGUGACCCCCAGAGCUGAGAGGUGGAAGCACUGGCGCGGCCAGCACAGCAAGCAGGGACAGCAGGAGGAAGCGUGGGGACAGAGUAGAUGGAAAAACAGCCAGGCCAGGCAAGAGGCCCUCCCAAAGCAUGUCUGAAAUUACCCAGCAUUUAACAGUUUUCAUUCUGGAGGUAUUAACAACAAACUCAACCACAAUUUGAAAAUCUCUGUUCUGGUCAGUGUGAUGAGUGUGCAGGAAAGUUGUAUGCUUCAGUUAAGCACAUAGUAUUUCUGAAAUAAUUGCAGUUGAGGCCAAAUCCCUCUGCAGAAAGAAAAAAUUAACUUUGAGCUAAGGUGCAGUGAUUAUAAGUUAUUGUUGGCUGUUUGUAUACUGUUAUUUUCAAAAGGUUUCCCCUCAACUUUUCAUUAAUAAUUUGUAAAAAAAAAUGAUACUAGAUAGAACAAAAAAAUGAUAUAUAGUAUUCCUCCAGACCUAUUAAUCUAUUCAUGCGAAAGGCAGGACCUGAGAGAGAGAGAGAGAGAGGGGUCCCAUCUGCUGGUUCACUCUCCAAAUGUCUGCAACAGCAGGGGCUAGGACAGGCUAAAGCCGGGAGCCAGGAAUUCUGUCCAGGUGUCCCACAUGGGUCACAGGGUCCUAAGCAUUUGGGCCAUCUUCUGCUGUAUUCCCAUGCACAUUAGCAGGAAUCCGAAUUGGAAGCAGAGCAGCUGAGACACAAACCCACACACCAGGAUGGGAUACUGGCAUUCUAAGCGGUGGCUUAACCUGCUGCACUGGUCCCAAAAUAAUAAAAAAAAAAGUUUGUUGCAGGCAUCUCUUUGUCUCCAGUUUUGUCUUGAAAGCAGUACCAUAAGUAGUACCAUAGGUUCUUGCAUGUUUGCCCCAUCUUGUUGAGACGGGACUGUUGGACUCAAGAUUUCCUUGUGUCCUGCCAUGUUGUGUUUUCAAGUUGCUCAGUGUCAGUGAAGUUGUUCACUGAAAUGAAGCUCAGUUGCACCAUACUCAUGUACCUCUGUUGAUUCAUAAAUCCCUUCUGAUUAGAUAUCUAUGAGGUUUGGUUUGCAGUUUUCAAAAGUCACAGGUGUGAGAGAAUGGGUACAAAAAUGGACAAUGGAAAAGCCAGAUACAACAAUAGAAUUCUGACUUCAACCUGCAGCAAGCAGCCCAGGACAGCAGUGUAUCAUCUGCAGUAACCGUCCCAACCACAAGUAAGACUUGCAGGAUGUCCAGUUGCUAUCUUAGUUAGCACUCCAAGAAGCCCAGUAAUAGCCCUUGUAACAAUGUGCCCUGCAUUGCCAGGACCUGAUUAAUAAUGGACAGCUUCUCUAAUUUUCCCCUAUGUCUCCAGCUUAGAACCAGCCAGAGAAAGCCCUAACCAAUUAUGAAGAAUUCCCAGUAUCUAACGAGUCCUCCUACAGCUUCCCCAGGCCAACACCCUGCAACUGGGGCUUACCCUUUUUUUAUUUUUAGAAUUGUUUUAUAUUUUUGAAGAAGUUAGAGAGAGAUCGACCCAGAGAGAGGUCUUCCAUUCUGCUAGUUCACUCCCCAAUGACCUCAAUGGCCAGACCUGAGCUGAUUUGAAGCCAGGAGUGAGGAGCCUCCUCCAGGUCUCCCACACAGGUGCAGGGGCCCAAGGACUUGGGCCAUCUUCUGCUUUCCCAGGCAACAGCAGAGAGCUGGAUCAGAAGAGGAGCAGCCGGGACUUGAACUGGUCAGAUCCUUCAAGCACCAGGCAUUUUUCCUUUAAAGAUAUUUAAGUGACUUCAUCAAAUUAAUACUAAUCUCUUUAAAUACAGUGGAAGGUUCCCAAGGGCUGGAAGUGUGUAUUUUGCUCACCAUCAUAUUCCGAGAUCCUAGCCAGGCACAUAAGAGAUGCUUAUUCAGUUUCUGCUGAUUUGACAAAAUACUGAUGGCUACACUACCUCUUUGUACAGAAAACUUAAAAUAGGGUCUAGAAAUGGUUGUCACCAGGAGCCUUCACCUUGUCUGUCCAGUCCAUGAAUUUAAGACUCACACAUGAUCUCAUUGGAAAUCCCCUGCUGACUUCCUGUGUUCUCCAGGAGUGUCUUCAUUCCUCCCUAGGAAGGACAGACCUUUCAGACUCAGGGUACAUAGUGCUUCCUAGAGGCUGAGUGGGGUCCUCUGUGGCCCUUGUGCCUUGUCCACACUUCUGUGCAUUUUGCUGCAAUUUUCUGUAUGCGUCUUCUCCCGUCGAGAUCCUCAGUCCCUCAAAACAAAAGCUGAUGUUCUGUUCAUCUGAGUACUACAUAACCUGUAAUUACUGAGCACAGUUGGUGGUUACUGUGUGCUGCGCAGGUGCCAACAGAUCCUUCCUAUUAUUGCACUUAAUCUCACAAUAGCCCUGUGAAUUCAACGGCUUUAUCUUUGCUGUCUCCAUGAGUCUGAUACAGAUGAGGAAUCUCACCAAAGAUCCCAUUUCAGGUAAAUAGCAAAGGUAAGCUUUAGAUUGAGACGUGUCAUACUCUAAGUUCUCUAACCUGAACUCAAGGCUGUGUUAAAAAUCAACUCUAGGCAGGCGCCAUGGCUCAAUAGGCUAAUCCUCCACCUUGUGGCGCCGACACACCGGGUUCUAGUCCCAGUCGGGGCGCUGGAUUCUGUCCCAGUUGCUCCUCUUCCAGGCCAGCUCUCUGCUGUGGCCCGGGAGUGCAGUGGAGGAUGGCCCAAGUCCUUGGGCCUUGCACCCGCAUGGGAGACCAGGAGAAGCACCUGGCUCCUGCCUUUGGAUCAGCAUGAUGCGCCGGCCGCAGCGCGCCGGCCGCGGCGGCCAUUGGAGGGUGAACCAACGGCAAAGGAAGACCCUUCUCUCUGUCUCUCUCUCUCUCACUGUCCACUCUGCCUGUCAAAAAAAAAAAAAAAAUUUCAACUCUAGGGGUGGGUGUUUGGCCUAGAGGAUAAGAUGCCUGCAUGCCUGGUUUCAGUUCCUGACUCUGACUCUAGCUUCCUGGUAGUGCAGACCUUGAGAGGCAGCAGUGAUGGCUGAGUAAUUGGGUUCCUGCCCAAUGUGGGAAAUUGGGGAAAAAGUCCCAGGUUUAAGCUUUAUACCAGUUGGGGCAAUUGCUGGCAUUUGGGGAAUGAGCUAGCAGAUAAAAUCAUUCUAUUUCUCUCUCUCUCUCUCUGGAACUCUGCCUUUCAAAAAAUAGGUUGAAAAGAUAGAGUCUAUAUCUUAAUUAUAUUAUCUAAAGCCCUGGUUAUUCCUGGUUUUCUCUUUGCUGUGCAUGGAAUUUCUAUUUUCGUUGUCAACCAGUAUCUUGUUUAAGGACUCUAGAUAAUGUCAUGAACUGAAAUACUUAAUCCUAUAUCAUUCAUCAUAUGUAAAUUAAAAAUACUGACUAAAAUACAAUUAUUUUAGAAGUUGUACUCCUUCUUGAACAAAAUAUUGCCCCUUAUAAUUUUGAUUCCUAAAAUUUGUUUAAAAUAUGUAUACUAAUCAAUGUAUUUUAUUUUGUAAUAUUUAUUUAUUUUAUUUGAAAGUCAAGUUACAGAAAGAGAGGGAGAGAGAGAGAGAGAGAGAGAGACAGAGAGAUCUUCUAUGCACUGCUUCUCCCUAAAUUGUUGUUAAAGCUGGGGCCAGACCAGACCAAAGUUAGGAGCAAGGAGCUGCUUACAUGUCUCCCACUUGAGUGCAGGGGUCCAAGGACUUGGUCCAUCUUUGGCUGCUUUCCUAGGUACCUUAGCAAGGAACUGGAUCAGAAGUGAAGCAGCUGGAACUCAAACCAGUGCCCAUAAGGGAUGCAGGCAUUGCUAUACCACUAUACCACAGUGCCAGCCUCUAAUCAUUGCAUUUUAUUCCUUUUUAUAUUUUCUGUUUUUUUAAUUUAGAAGCUAAAAGUUGUUGGUCAGUUACUAAUUCUCAGAUUUAUUGGCCCAACUUCUACAUAGAAAUGAUUUUAUAGACAGUUGUCUCAUAAAUUAAGGCCUGAGAGGUGAUUUCACAUCAUAGACUAUCAAAGCCCAUUGUUGACAUUUAUAGGAUGAAAUAAAGAUCAGAAAUGUUUGAAUGUUUGUCAGUAUGCUAUUUGCAAAAUGUAAAAUAACCAUUAAAUGGAACCUAGAGUUUAUAAAUUGAUUUAUGUCAACACAUGAACCAAAUACUAACAUUUACUGCUAUGUUCUUUUUAUUAAACACAUCAUGAAAUCUAAAUGGCAGUUAAAAUAGUUUAUUUUUUCAUGUUAAAUGGAAGUAUGAAGCUGUUGGCUGUAUUUAAAAAGGUAAUAAUAGGCAUUUUGUAUUUCUUUUCUAAGCACCACAGAGCAGCCGACACUCAACUAGUAUUUCCUGCUGAAAAUAAACCCCAGAAUGAAAAGAAGAAACAAGAGUUCUUAGCUCUUGCAGAAAAUUGCAUUUCUUGGCCUUCCAUGUCCUAAGUAGAACGAAAAUUUUGCAUUCUUCCCAUAAAUCUUGGAGUGUCUAAAACACACUUUACGUCUGUCUCCCAAUCACUCCCUUUAUUAGCAUAGAAAAGGUUCUGUUCUGUUCAAUUCAUGAGGUUUCUUAACAUCUGGUAAAGGCAGUGAAGAGACAGUUUAUGUGAUCCUCCAAGAAAAACAGAAUAAACAGGAACUGUGCUCACCACCCAAAGAUGUGUACCUUAGCCAGAACUCCCCUGCUGCCUUGUUUUAUUUUUUUUUCUUUUCUUUUGUUUUCUUUCUUCCCGUGGUUGGAACCAAAGUCAAAGAUCAAACACAUAGCAUUUGGCACAUACUGGAUGCUGCAGAAAUCUUCAGAAGAGCAAGGAGAUGUUGUUUUCUAUUUAGUAGGACGUGUAGGUGAACUACAGUGAAAAUGACUGAGCCACUCUGCCUGGUUUUUAUGUUUCUUUGGUGGAAUAAAAUAGAAAAGUAGGGGAGGAGAAAGGAUGCAAAGAAGGUUCUGUGAGAGGAGUUCCAGAUCCUUAGUUGGAAAACUGCCAGUAAAGACAACAGGAUGUUUUCCUGGACCCAAACAGUGUUUUGUGAUUUUGAAACAGAGAACUGCACGUUCUUAGCUUCCUUUCAUGUAAAGAUGUCACCAUUUGUAAGAUACAUCCUGAUUUCAGAGUUGUUAAAAUGUGAGAAAAUACACAGAAUUUUAUAAAAUAUGGUAAAUACUUGAAUUUCUGGCUUCUUGGAGCAAAUUGAAAGAUUUGGCCACACAGGGCAGUGAACUCGACAAAAAUAGGUGCUCUCAGGUGGGUGGUGGCUCUACUGGGGUCCCUCUUAGUGAAGAAACUGAACCAGGCAAUGGAAUAGAAGGGGACAGUGUGUGGGGCAUGUGCGCCAUGUGCUGUGAGGCAGUGAAGGAUGGCCUUGCUGAACUGGGGACACUGCCACAUGCCUGCUGGGGUCCUUCGGACUCACCUUUCAUGCCUGCAGUGGGCGACAAUGGGCGACCUCUCUUUUCAUAGAUUUGUUGGUAUUCAUUCACAGCGCUUUUCCCUCCGUCCUCUUCACAUUUUCAUCUUUUGAUGAUUUUGUGAAAGAGUUAGCCCUAAAUUACACACUGAGGUUUCUGUGUUGAUGCCUGAGUCCAGGCCUCCAGCAUCAUCUCUGUCAGCAGCCAGGAACAGCUCUCCCUACACGCAGAGUUCCCAGCCUCAGAGCCCAGUUUGGCCCUAACUGACUAAAUUCUUACUCGCAUCCUUGUGUUUCUCUCCUUCCUCAUGUUGGUAAUGAUUAUGCAAUAUGUGCUAUUUUAGUUGAGUUAUACAGACAUUGUAUGAGGUGGUGUAUUUGUUAAAAUGAGAGACUGUAUUUCACCAUUUCUUUAUCUCCUGUUGUUAACAUAUAAGAGGAUAUUCAAUAAAUGGUGAGGGGAGAAAUGAAUGAACACAAUGAUUAACUACAGUUUGAUAAUGAAGAAGUCAUAUGACAGACCUCCAGAUUUAUUCAAAACAUAAUUUACUUCAGUCUUACAGGCAAGUGUAAUACUACCCAAUAUACUACUAUCCAUUGCUCUCUUGCCUUAAGAAACCCAGAGUUUCACUGGGGUUAACAGUGAAUUUCACAGCAAGUGCUUUGGGAGAGAGACGUAUUUAAGCAUAUGUUACAGUAAAAGUGAGGGAGAGGGCUCUGAAUUUGCUUUAUUCCCUUGGAGAGCUUUAUUGUGCACAAAAAAUGGGGGAUUGGGCCAACGCGCAAGCCCUCACAACAGGAAUAGUAAAUUGGAUAGCAUACUUGUCUGGGAGAAGAGACUAGGCUGAGAGAAGACUGCGUGUGAAUGUAUACUACUAUACAUGGUAUGUAUAUAUACAUAUGCUAUGUAUGUAUAUAUAGAAAACUUGUAAGAUAAUUUUCCUAGAUCUUAGGAAAAUAAUCUCUUCUAUCUUACAAAAACACAGAAAUGAUUGAAAAUUGCACAGUUGUACUUUUUAAACUUACAAAUCCUGCAUCCAUGCCUCAGUCUGCAAUGUCUCUUACAUAUGGCUGAUGAUGUGUUUGCAAAAUAAGUAAAUUUCUCUGUGCUGAUGUUUGAUAUCAGCAUAUAGGUGAUAACAUUAAGCAGUGGUUUUAAACUUAGUGAUUUCACAGAUCCAUCUGGAAAGACUUCACACAGACAGCAAUUGUAACUUAAUUGUUAUUGUGAGGGGGCCAGGCAUUAAAAUUUUAAAAAUUUUCCCAAGUGAUUUGAUUGGUGUACUCAGGAUUGUGAAACACUGACUUAAUGCUGCUGCUGCUGCUUCCUCCUCUUCUUCCUCUUCUUCCUCCUCCCCCACCCCGUUCUUUCUCCCCCCUUCUUCCCUCUACUCCCCUUCACCCUCCUCAUUCUCCUCCCCCCCCCUUUUUUUUUAAUAAAAAUCAUUUCUUUGAAAGGCAGAGUGGUAGAGAGAUGGGGGAAGGAUGACACGAGGGAGAGGGGAGAGAGGAGACAGAUUCCAGUUUACUCCCACAAAUGCCUGGAACAACUGUGACUUGGCCAAGCUGAAUCCAGGAGCCAGGUACUCCAUCUGACUCUCCCACAUGAAUGAUUGUCACCCACGUACCUAGUAUAUCAUCUGUUGCUCCUAGGAACAUUAGCAGGAAGUUAGAUUGGAAGCAUGGGGUAGCCAUGUACUCCAUAAAUGGGAUGUUCAUGUCCUGUGUGGCAACUGUACCUGCUAUACCACAAUACCUGCCACUGAUUUAAUUGUGAGCCACUUGUAUGGUCAUGAGACCACAAAAGGAAAAAGAAAAAAUAGGCUAUAAUAGGUUGAAGAGAAAACCUGAGGGACCCAAUAUUCAGGGCACUAGCAGAGACAAAGAUAGUCCUGAGAAAGGCUAGAAACCAAAUUCCUAAGGAUGACAACCACCUACUUGUCUUGUUGUUGAAGUGAUCAACUCUGUGGGUUAGCUGUGGUCGGAAGCAGAGAUCUGAUAGACUCUGCUAGAUUGGCCAAUUAGAAUAUUGUUGCUGACAUUAAUGAGAGUAAUUUUUGUGGGCAGCUGCAGAAAUGGACUGAGGAGUAAAUUGAAAAUGACGAUUAGAAGAAAGCAAGCCUUGAUUAUUGUUUUGAGGUGAGCAAGAGAAAGAAAAGUAAAUAGUGAGAAGGUUGUUGGGGUGUGUGCCUGUUAAGGAUGAAGACCCUUGCUCCAAGGCUGAGGGGAAGAUGUUGUGGGGAAACAGUGAAAGUCCAGGGAUGGUGACCAACAGAUGGGAUCCUGGGCUCAGGGGAAAGGAGGACCAUAAACAGCAGGAAGAAUUCCCGUUCUUCACCUGGAUUUGAGGAGAAAGAUGUAAUUAUGGACACAGAUAGUUUUGUUAUGUUCAGGAGAGUUGAGAGAAUAUGUAUCUUAUGAGCUGAAUUUUUGUGAUAAACUAUGAGACGGGUGUAUUUCUUGAAAGUUGGAGCACAAAGAGUAAGAAUUAGUUACAAGCUAAAAGGGAUGCGUUGUUAUAAGAGGGAUGGCUGGUGAACAUUUAGUUAUGUGGCUGUCCACAACAGUGAGGGUCUGAUCCCUGUGGGGGCUCUGAAUUUGCCGAAGCUUCCACUUGCAUAGUUAUUUGAUAAUUCUCUCCUCGUUUCCUGCUCUCCUCAGUUGCCCUUUCUCUCCCUCUCCCUCUCCUUCCCCCUUUUCCUCUCUCCCUACUUUCUUCCCCUCUCCCCUCUCUCUUGAUGUUAUAGUAGUCUUGGCCAAACGUGAUUGUAGGCAGUUCAACAUUUCUCUGAACUGCUUGACAAGACCCAGAGGGAUCCUGAAGAGGACACCGGGGGCAGAACUCUAGAGCAGCAGCACUCCUGGAAAAAAAGUGAACCACAUAUCUAGUUUGAAGCUCUACAGCAGCUGAAGACAACCAGGUGAAAUCAAAAAUGUAUUUCAUUCAACCAAGCAUAUCUAAAAUAUUACUAGUUUAAAGUAUAAAUCAAUAUAUGCUAGUAUGUAGUAGCAAGGAAGACAUUUAUUUUUCACACCAAGUACUUGCAAUCAGGCGCAUCCCCAGAUAGAGCUGAUGUGUGUGUGAUGUUCCAUAGGCAUCUGUGAUUAGCGGCAGGUCUUGAACUAAGCUCUAGAAUUAAGAAGAUCAGGGACCAGGGAAAUUGGGGAGGAGGUGUUCUCAUGACAGUUAAAAUCUCCUUGGAAGUUGAUGGAACUUAAGGAUCACACAAGAAGACUGUGAACCAGAUACCAAAGGAUUUGCUGACCUGAUGGGAGGGAGAGAAUUACAACAGUGACAUGUGUCCAUGAUCAUUUAGAGGGUUAUUGAAAAAGGACUUAGUUUAUAAUUAUCAAAGUUAUUUUCAAGACAUAUCAGAAGAGUCUUGUAUAUGUAGAGAGGGCUUCUUGUUUUACAGACUCCUAAAAUCCUUGUCUAGAAGGAUAAUAACAUUUCAAAUCAGUUUUUAAUCUUUAAAUCUGCAAAGUGGCUUUUUCCAAUAUUGGGAAAGCUAAUGCAUAAGCUACGUGGAAAGGCAUGACUGUGAAUGCACUGCUGACCUGUGAAUGGGCCCCCAGCUGCCUCCUUGCCGUUCUUGGCUGCUAUCAGUUAAUGUAUUACCAUUAUUUCAUGAGGAAAUAAUGUUAAAUGGCCAACCACAUUUAAAAUUGAUUUCUUUUUUGACUUUUUAAAAACAUUUUAUUUAAGUUAUGCAAGUUUCAUGUAUUUCAUGUAUAUGUAUAUAUAUAUAUAUAUAUGUAUAUAUAGGAACGUAGUGAUAAUUUCCCCACUCCCACCCAUACUCCAACCUUUCUUCAAUUUUGGUUUUGAUUGCCUGUGCUUCUGGGGUCUUUUCCAAGAAGUCUUUGCCUGUGCAAAUGUCUUGAAGAAUUUAUCUGAUGUUCUCUAGUUAUUUGAAUGUAUCAGGUCAUAGAUUUAGGUCUUUGAUUCAUUUUGAGUGGAUUUUUGUGUAAGAUGCAAGUAGAUGUCUUACUGCAUACUUCUGCAUGUGACAAUCCAGUGUUCCCAGCACUGUUUGUCCUUGCUCAGGGAUUGAUUUUAGCUCCUUUAUCAAACAUUAGUUGGUCGUAGAUGCGAGCCCCCUCUACUUUAAUUGGAUGGAGGGCAACCACUUGCUCCGAAAGCUCUCGUCCAGAUUCAUGCCAUGCUUUCCCUCUGGCUGUAUCACCAUGGUUUGCUGUAGUCCAAUUUCACCUCAGCCUCCAAGCUACUGCUCACUCUGGCUCUCGGCUGCUGCAGUCGUGUGUUGUGUUGUGUUCGUGCUACAUGUCUGCACCCUCCUCACAGGCCCUGGCGUUCCUCUUCUCUUGCAGGAUUUUCAGUGUGAUUUUCUCUCCAGUUCUCUCCUGAAAAUGCACUUGGUAUUCCCUUCUUUCUAUCUCUCUCUCUUGACUAUGUAUCCCCAGCCCAGCAGUGUAUCUUUCCCUAAUCUGCCCUAAAAUUGAUUUAUAAUAUUUGAUUCCAGCCAUGCCUUGUUCCUGUUGAGAAGCAGUAAGCUCAGUUCUGUCACUGUAGACUAUGGUUGGCCCUGGAGAGUGAAGUCCCUGCUUGUUCAGUACUAUAUUGAUGAUGUUGUAUUUUAAUUGAUUAUACUGGUUGAGUGAUGAGAUGCCACACAAGAGGGUUUUGUGUCUGUAGUGUACUCACUGAAGGUCUAGAUCAAUAGCUGGCUAGCUAGCUAGCUAGCUAGCUAGCUAGAUUUAUUUAUUUAUUUAUUUAUUUAUUUAUUUAUUUAUUUUGACAGGCAGAGUUAGAGAGAGAGAGAGGAAGGUCUUCCUUUUUCAGUUGGUUCACCCCCCAAAUGGCUGCUACAGCCAGCGUGCUGCGGCUGGUGUGCUGCACCAAUCCGAAGCCAGGAGCCAGGUGCUUCCUCCUGGUCUCCCAUGCAGGUGCAGGGCCGAAGCACUUGGGUCAUCCUCCACUGCCUUCCCGGGGCACAGGAGAGAGCUGGACUGGAAGAGGAGCAACUGGAACAGAAUCUGGCGCCCCAACUGGGACUAGAACCCGCAGGCAGAGGAUUAGCCUAGUGAGCCGUGUUGCUGGCACUAGCUCUUAACUAUGUAGUCAACAUUUAAGCUCAUACUUCCACAAACAGUUCUUAGACUACUGCAUCCAUGUAUGAACCCAUUCAAGAGGGGGUGCUGGGGCAAGCUUUGGCAGAAUAAUUAAGACUCAGCUUGGGAUUCCCACAUCCCAUACCUGAGUGCCUGGGUUCAGUUCUUAGCUCUGCCUCUAAUUCUAGCUUUCUGCUAAUGCACACUUGGAGAGGCAGCAGUGAUGGCCAACUACUUGCAUGCUUGCCACUCAUGUGGGAUACCUUGAUUGAGUCCCAGGGUCCUGACUUAAGCCUGGUCCAGCUGUGACUAUUGAGUGAAUUUUCAGGGUGAGCCAGCAGAUGGAAGAUGUAUCUGUCUGUAUGCCUGCCUCACUGUGUGUCAGUCUCUGUCUCUUUGUAUUUUUCUCUGCCUUUCAAACAAAGUGAAAAUAAACAGAAAUGUAAGAGGAAAACAAAAUCCCAAACAGUGCCAAUUAAAAUUCCCAUUAAAAUUAUACCAUUUUGUUUUAUUUUUUAGUGGAAAUUAAAAUAGCAAGGUUUAUUAGGGAAGGGACAUCCUUAAGAACGGAUGGGCACCUCUCCAGACAGAACCUGAGAGAGAGUGCUCAGUCGCUCAGACUAGGGGAGAGCGGGGUUACAUGGUUGAGUGGAGAGAUUACACUGGGUGGCUCAGCAUGGAGGCAGAGGGAUGAGUGUGCAGUCUGGUUGAGGCUGGGGGCUUUUAAGGGGAUGGGUCCUGCCUCCCCACCUCUGCUCCUCUUGGAACAAAGGACAUUUUGGGCAUAAAUACUAAAAAAUCCUUUCUGAGUUUUCCUCCUAAGUUCUUCCCAGGCGGUCUCCCAUCCAAGUACUAACCAGGCCUGACCCUUCUUAGUUUCCGAGAUUAGACAAGAUCUGGCGCGUUCAGGGUGGUAUGGUCGUAGACCAUUGUUUUUUCUUAAAACCAAUCAUUUCUAAACCAUUUCAUGGACUACCAGAAAGAAGACAUAGUAGAAGGAAGAAAGUUCUUAAAAUUUAGUUGAGAGGAUAUAUAGAUAAAAAGACAUGGAGACAGCAAAUGUAAAACUUCCAUCUGUUGAUCCAUUAUCCAAUAUCUGCAGUGGUCAGGAUUGGACCAGGGACACAGCCAAAAACCAGGAACUCCAGUGGGUUGGACGUCAGGGACAAGGACUUGAGUCAUCCAUACUAGCUCCCAGGGUCUGCAAUAUCAGUAAGCUGGAGUCAGGAUCUAGAACCAGAAACUGAACCCAGGUGCUCUGAUAUGGGACAUGGGUAUCCUUUUUUUUUUUUUUUUUUUUUUUACAGGCAGAGUGGACAGUGAGAGAGAGAGAGAAAGGUCUUCCUUUUGCCGUUGGUUCACCCUCCAAUGGCCGCUGCGGCUGGCACACCGCUCCUAUCCAAAGGCAGGAGCCAGGUGCUUCUCCUGGUCUCCCAUGGGGUGCAGGGCCCAAGCACUUGGGCCACCCUCCACUGCACUCCCUGGUCACAGCAGAGAGCUGGCCUGGAAGAGGGGCAACUGGGACAGAAUCUGGUGCCCCGACCGGGACUAGAACCUGGUGUGCCGGCGCUGCUACGUGGAGGAUUAGCCUAUUGAGCCACGGCGCUGGCCUAGGACAUGGGUAUCUUAACCAGUAGACAAAUAGUAAUAGUAAUUCACAUUUUGGGGAUAUUACGUAGUUAUGGGCUUUUGCUUGUAGGCUGGUGUAUUAUGAUAAAUAUGAACUAUUAUGUCUUAGCACUGGUAUUUCACCUAUGGUGUUGCAUCUCUGUUUAGGCCAGAAAUGCCAGGUGGCAGUUGAGAAAUCAGCUGCUAAUUGUGCCAGGACAAUGACACAUGCAUUGCAUAAUCACACAUCUAUUGCUCCAGCACUUCCAGGGAGCCACUCUUGUAAUCCUUUGUCAGCUUUAAUAGUUAAUGAAUCACAGACCCAUUGGUAUACUCAUCGCAGGUUCCUCUCUAAGGACAAUACGACUGCUUUAGUUGUGCAGCUAUCGAUGUAGCCACGGACUCUGGUACCACCAGCCUCCAUGCUUUAGAGGCCUUGUUUUCAGAACCCCCUCUUCAUUCUUCAGCUGCCAACCCUACCUCCUUUGUCUUGUCCUCUUCCCAUCAUGUGGCAGAAGGUCAUAUCUCACUUCAUGCUGGUUGAAUGAUCUGUAGAACAACUACCCAGUGAGUUCAGUCACAUCAGUUUUCAACCUGAUUUUUCACUCAGAUAUGACCUCAUUUUUUGAAAAGUUUGACUUUUGUUGUUGAAGGAGAUUUUCAUGUUAACUGAGCAAUACUCAGACAGCAUAUUUAUAAACUUGAUGGAUAAAAGCAGUAAUUAAGAGUUUAGUCUGGUGACAUAGAACAGAGUCUGAUAUUAAAAAUAUUUUUACUGCUUAAAGCAUUUGCCCAUAAAGACACUGAUGCAAGGAAUAUUGACUAAACACUUUGCUUUUUCUUGGAUUAUUCCAAAGGAAUUUUGAAAAUGUUAUUUAUAUAAAAGGAACAAAUUCCAUGUAUUUCAUAUAUACGUUAUAAAUUUUUUUUACUAUUAUGAUACCUUCCUCCAUCAAUUAUAUACCCAACAGCAAUAACCACAGGUUUGUACCAAUUAUGUAUGUGUGUGGGUUAUUAAAUAACACUGUUUUUGGCAAUAGAUUUGUAUUUCCUUAAACUGAGUUUAAAUGAAUUUUGAAAGAUUUCUGGUAACAGUGGUUUAUAAAUUUAUGCAGUACAAUCUGCUCUUCCUAAUCCAAACAUAGUGAGAUGACAAAUGAAAUAUUAAAACUGAAACCAAAAAGAUACAAUUAUACUUGGUAUAUUCUGGGAACCAGAAAUAGAACAAAACAGCUGUCUGGAGGCAGAAGCAAGGGCCUGCUAGACUCCAUGAAAAUGGAUUCCUAUAGGGUCACAAGGACAAGAAAAAUGCCAUAUCCAGGCUGAGGAACUGAAUCUGAGUUUACAGCAGGAAACCUGGGGCUGGGGUAGCUUAUUUACCACAAAGAGAUGGGAGACUGUUGUGGCUGCUACUGGGGCUGUUCAUUUGAAAGCUGCUGGAGGCAGUAGAAAUAGCUGUCCCAGUAAGACCUGGGCCAAGCCACCUGCUGGUCCAGUGGCCAGCUCUCCAAUGACCCCUGGUUACCAUGGUGCAGAAGCCCAUCAGGAGGCACAGAGGCACACUGAAGAGGAAGGGUGGACAAAUAAUUGCCACUCUUGUAAGCAGCACACAUAGAAAACACUAAUGAACAGAAACUACAAAAUCGGUAAGACAGAGUAUGUUUACCCACAAAAUGUGAAAAUAUGGCAUCUUAAAAUGACUUUUAAGUACAUUGCCAAUUAUUAAACAGGUCCAGAAAAAAAUAAUUAUUAGAUACAAGCCAGUGGACAUAAAUUAAGGCCAAAUGAAUAUGGAAAAAUGGCCAAUUACCAAUCCUUUGGAAAGAGAAAUAUGUCAUUUAAUUGACGAACUCAAAAUAUAGGAUAAUUUUAGACUGAAUCUAGUCAGAGAAAAAUUAGCUAAUACUAAAAUUCUACCAAAAUGAAACACAGAAAGACAAGAAGAAUAAUGAGGAAAUGGGAAAAAUAGUGGUUAGACAAAAAGGCUCCAGUAGAGUUCUAACAAAAGUUCCAGAAGUAGAGAAUGAAACCUUGGCAAGAGGAAACUGCCAGAGAUAAUGACCGAGAAUUUCUAGUAUCACUAGCAUGUGAGUUCUCAGACUGAAACAGAGCCUUCUGAAGAGGGAGUGCACGCAGCAGUGUACACGUUGUGGGAUCAAAACAUGACCUCCCGAGCUAGGUAGGAUAAUGAAUGAGACGUGCACGCUGCAAGAUAGCAAAGUUGCAGAACAUCAGACACAGAUAAUUUUGGAAAUGGCCAGAGAGAACAGUCAGGUGACCCUUAAAGGGUAGUUGACAGCUAGACUGAGGGCAGAUUUCUCACCAGCCAAAAUAUAUCUCAGAUGUAGUUGGAGGGUGGACACCAUGGCACAGCGGGUUAAGCCAUGGGCUGCAGCACAGGCAUCCCAUAUAGGCACCAUUUCAAGUUCUGGCUACUCCAUUUCCAAUCCAGCAACCUGCUAAUGCACCUGGAAAAGGCAGCAGAAGAUGACCCAAAUGCUUGGGGCCCUAAGCUGAUGUUGGAGACCUGGAGGAAGCUCCUGGUUCCUGGCUUCAGCCUGGCCCAGUCCUGGUUAUUGUGCCAUUUAGGGAGUGAACCAACAGAUGGAAGACUUGUCUCUCUGUCUCUUCCUCUCUCUCUCUACUUCUCAAAUAAAUAAAUAAAUAAAUAAAUUUUGGACUUGACAGAAGUGGUGGGGUUGAGGUACAAGUGGAGCCAGGCACCAGGGGCUGCGUGGAAGGAGCGAUGACUGGGGGUGGCAAAGAAACAGUUCUGCAUUGCAGAUGUGUUUCUGCUCCUGUCACUGUGAGCUUUGGUGCUGCGUGGGUGACUAAAGGAAUUCCAGAAGCUCACUUCCAGAGCAGCACUUCCCAAACAUGCUCUGUGGAGCACUGACGAGCAAGUAAAAAGUGUUAAAUAAACUAAAAUGUCCCAUUGCCAAAUAUGGUUGAAAACUGCUGUGUGAAAUAACAGCACCUUUCUUCACCAUGAAAGUUUUUGGACAGCAUGCCCUGUAUAUCCUCAAGAAGAGAUGUAAAAUGCAAGAGUUUCAAAGUUGGAAUGUAGACAGUUGUUUCCUUAGGCUGACCAAUGAGAUAAUCCACAGAACAUGCUUUUGAAGCACAAUUUCUCCAGAUUUAUCUAUUUUUAAAAUUUUCUAAUAGGUCCCUGGAGAUGCAAAGAAUUCUUCUUUAGCCAUUGUAAAACUUACCACACUCUGAUUUAUGCACAAAGACACUGUUCGCUCAGGUGUGGUUUUAAGAUACCUUAGGUUGUCCUAAAUGGUACUUCGGUCUGUUUUGCCUUCCAGGCCAUCGUCUCUGCCUUCACUGAUUCAGUGUGCUGUGGAUUUUGUAGCUUUGACAUAAGUCUUCACCUAUUUUAUUGCUUCAGGAACCUCUGAGGAGCUUGAGGGUAGCAAUCUUAGCAUCAUGUGUUGAAUUGCACACAACUGAGUUGUAUAAAAACACUUUUAACAUUUAAAGGACAGUCUACAUUGAAGUGUCCUUGGCCUGGUCCUCCAGCGUGGAGCCCAAGAGGUGCUUCCCUUAAAUAAAUAAAUGCCUUUGGGAAGAAAUAGUACUGAAAGAAACAGACCUUUUGAUAUGUUAUCAUCCUAAAUAAAAAUUACUAUUUCUGCAAAGCCACAAACAUACACAAAGGGAGUUAUUCUGUGAGGUGGGAAGCUUGGGUCCUUUUCCCCUCUUGGUCCUGGGAGGAUGACAGCAAAUGUCAGGUGAACACACCAGUCCAAUUGUGCUCUUAUGACUACAGGGAUCUUGGAAGAUUUCAUUUCAAAAAAAAAAAAAAAAAAAGAGGGAGAGAGAAAACCUUACCCACCUUUUUCUAUGUGGAUUUAACAAUACUAAGGUCUAGCCACAGCCAUGGUGCUGAGGAUGGCACAGGUGUCUAAACACAGUGAACAUCUGAAUCUCUGAGGUAAAGAACAGCUUUAAUGUCUAGACACAGAGAGAAGGAACAUUAGGAUAUAAAUGGCUCACAGAUCACAGCUCUCACGUCUCCAUCCGUGAUGUGAUCAGUGUGCUAGGCAAAACUAUAGUGAGCACGAUGCGUCACCCCGCCUUCUCAUCCUGCCCAACACCCGUCUCUGUGAUGUGUUGCUUUGUAUGGUUAUUUGAUUCUUCCCUGAGGAGCUCCAUGAAAAAUGUAGAAAGUAAAAUAUAACCUAAUGGAUCCCCUGCUUCUGGAUCUUAAAACUACUAUGUGUUAUUAUCUCUGCUUUAAAGAAGAGGAAACUGAGGUUUUGAGAGGUUAGGUGACUUUCCCAGGUCACAGAGGGAGAAGUGGGUGAAGAAUGACUUCAGUCAAGGCCACCCUACUCCUGCCUUCAUGGUCAUACUGGAAGUCGAAGGAAUAAAGCCAUCUAUAAAUAACACACAGGAGGGCUCUGACAUGAAUUUGAAGGCUCUAUGCUUAUCCAGCACAAAUUUCUUGUCUUGUAUUCCCCCAAUAUAUAUGGAUUUAUUUGCGUCUUACUCUGACAGGGGAAAUCAUUGCUUUAAAUAAAGGCUUUUAAUUCUCAUCAUUGGGAAAUUUUUCAAACUUGAUCAGUACUGAUCCUAAGGCUGUUCUCAUAUUGCAAAUCACUCAUGCAGUGGGAAUGGCCUCCCUUGCUAACUGCUGAGGCCAGCAGCUACCACUGUUCGUGUCUCUUAGUUGGCCAUUGCUGUGUGCUUUGCAACCUGCUGUAACUGACUAAACUCAUGGUGUAUGGAAAGGUAACUUCUGGCAGCAUUCAUACUAGCCAACAGCUGUCACAAGGAGAGCACGGCACCUUAACGCUCCAUUAUGUGACCACUGUGGUUCUGACGUCUUAGGGUUAUUAAUUUCAUGACUAGAGUCAUACAAGCCGUUUCACAUACCACUGUAUUCGUGGAUAUGUAUUCAUACAUAUUUGUAAGUGGAAGGACUCAGAGAAAGUGAUUGUCUAGUCUCUUUUCAUGUCAUCACAACUUCCUAAUUCCAUUUUUUUCUUAUAUGGUAAAUCCACAAAUGACCUUUUUUUUUAAAAAAAAAAAAAGAUUCCUUUAUAUAUUUGAAAGGAAUAGUUAGAGGCAGAGGCAGAGAGAGACCAGUGCCUGUAUGGGAUGUUGCCACUGUAGGCAUCAGCUUUACUUUUUAAGAACAUUAACUAUGCCCCAGAAUACUUGGUGAUUACCCACAGACUUCAGGCUGAGAAUCUGAUUAGCUAGAGGCCUACUCUUUAAUGGAAGAUUUCUUAAAGGUCCUUGCACAAUCAGGAGACUGUGACAAGCAGUGACGAAGUUAUUGGUAGUGAGUGGUUUUUGUAGAGAAAAUGCAUAAAGGGUUUAAAACCUAAAGGCAAGAAGAAUUGACAUUGGGUAAGGAGAGAAGGAUGGAAGAUUCAGAGAUGAAUUUAUGGAUGUCCCUGUAUAAACUGGGAGCUUGUGGGGCUUGAGGGAGCACCUGGCUUCAAUGGGGCACACACUUCAGAAAAACAGAACUUGAAUUUUUUUGAGUUUUGAAUACAUCUAUAUUUUUUGCAGACUUAUAAAAUCUAAUAUCUUCGUCGAGAGAAAAUUUACCAUUUUGAGUAAGAAGGAAUGACGGGGUUAGGUCACCUCUGCCAGUGAUAUGACAGACACCUUCCUACUGGUCGGGAAUGAGAUAUAAAAAUAGGUGGAUCUGGAAUGGAAGUUGGGAGCAGUGCACCUGCCAAGGAUGGCAGCUGUUCGUGCUCAGGUAGCCUGCUUCAGCGGCCUCCUGUGGAACAAUGGAAAAGCUUAAUAGAAUGAGCCUAUUAGUUAAAUGUUGUUGCAACUCAAAUAUUUGAACUUUUGAGUUUAAUAACUGAAAACUUGAAAGCUAACUAAUUUCUCAAUUUCCAGAAGAAAUAAACUAUUACAGAGAGGAUAGUCACAUGGGACUCUUUUUAUUUUUUUUUUUUCUUUCAUAGUUAGAGGGAAAAACACAAAUCUUUAAUCUGCUGGUUUACUCUCCAAAUUUCUGCAGCAAAAAGGACUGGACCAGGCCAAAGCCAGGAGCCAAGAGGUUCUUCCAGUUCUCCAAUGUGGGUGGCCCAGUCACUUGGUCCCUAUUAUGCUGCUUUCUCAGACCAUUAGCAAGGGUCUGGAUUGGAAGUGGAACAACUGGGACAAGAUCUGGUACCCAUGGAAAGCGGGAGUUGUAGGCAGCAGCAGCUUAACCUAUUUGUGCCACAAUGCCAGCCCCCUAUCCUAUGCUUUUGAAUAAGAGAACUCUGGGUCUAAGGCAUGGGCCAGAUGUCUAAAAUUUCACCUGGAGUGUUUGACUUUGAUGUCUUAGAAUGACAAUAUUCUAAGUUAUGUCUCUACCAUUAAUGCAGCAGCAGUUAAGCACUUUUGGCUUUGCUCCACUGAGAUGGAAAAUCUAUGAAAGCAAAUCCUGUGGGAGAAUAUGGAAUAUUAGAAGUGCAAGGAGCAGUGUAAUAUUUUAAGAAAUAAGCAUUUUCUCAGUACUCAAUAUGCCAUGCAACAUAGCUAACAGGAAGAUGGAAAAUAACUUAAAAUAGAAAUCACAGCAGAAAAAUGACCACUCCUCUGUUUUUUCUCAUUCUUUCUCUUAAGGCUUUUAAUCUGCAUCUGUGCCCCAUAUGGUAUGUUAUGCUGCCUAUUACUUGGCAUUGUUGAUAUAUAGAUAUACAGUUAUGGGCUCUGCUUACUUGAUAAUGCUUGUCAUUAAAACACUCAAAGGGGAUAACGUCCUCUUGACUUACAAGAAAUUCUUUGACUGAUUGAUGUUAAAGGAAUCAGUUGAAAUGUUCUGUUUGCUUCUUUAAUUGAUGACAAAAACUAGAACCAAGAAGUAGGUGACCAUUCCAGAUCUUUGGCUUGAUACUGUUGCUACUCAAUUAAUAGUGGCUCAUUUGUAUUUUCCAAGAAAACUAGAGGUUCUUCAUAAGUAGAGGAAAGUAUCUUCGAAUCUCUCAAUCCCCUGUGUCACAAAAAUUAAUGGUUUGUGCUGCGACUUCUCCUUAAUGCUCCCUCUGGCAAACGGGCCCGCUGCGUUAAAGGGCACAAGCCGCUCUGGUGCAUGCUCUGCCGCUUGGCAGUUUCCAUUUCAGGAGUGGAGGUGCUGGAGGUGAGUCUGCUUAAUUAUGCAGCACCCUGGAUGGCACCAGAUCCUGUGCAUUUGUAAUGCGCGCUAUCUGACCAUUGAUUUAUGCACCCCAUUUACACAGUGUUAAUGUAAAACCAGCCAAAGGCAACCUCACACCCCAAUUUGAAAGUUUUCACAUUCUUCUAGUAAUGCCUUUUAUACACAAUGCUAAAUAGUACUUCAAAUUCAUCGACGAGCUCUUUACGAUCAGUUGAUACUCUGUGGCCUCAGAAUAUACGUGAAAUGUACAAAUAAAUAUGCUGUGUGUUGGAUGGACAGUAUGCAGAUGUUUUAAGAUUUUACAGUGGAUUGUGGGCUGCAUGUUUUUCAAAGCUUAUUUCUUACAACUAAUCAGGAGAGCUCUUCUGAGAUAAAGAUUGAUACGAGCAAAGUUGAGUCGAACUUUAGAAAGUGUGGAGGAGUAGAUAUAACAUGUCAUUUGUGUAGCACAACUCUGUUGUUUUGUCCAGAACACGCAUCCAGUCUUCUCUUCCUUCACCAAAAAUGAGCUUUCAAAUCAGAAAGAGAUGUGCUAGAGGCUCCUGUCGGUCUAGACUUCGAGGCCCUGGAGGCCUGCCCUCUCCCCAGGCCAGGAGCUCAAGCUCUGCCCAUCCUGCCAGGUUUUUCGCACCACCUCAGGGUGCACGCCAUGUUUCCUGGAGGAGUCUGGCCGUGGUAACCCUCUGCUGCCUCUGCUCGGAGCAGACACUGGAUGGGUUUUCUUCCUAGCAGACUCAGGAACCAACUUCAGAACAGUUGCACGGAAGGCUUCCAAGUAACCAUCUACUUACCUGCCACCCUGGUGUGGCACACACAUGGGCAUGACUGAACAUGGGUGUUCACCAGAUUCCACCUGGGCAAGCUAGGGCAUGGUAAGAUCUGCCACAGGGACGGACUUCCUUUGAAAAAUGCCUCCUGGAGCAGUUGUUGCAGCACCAGCAUCCCGUAAGAGUGCAGGCUCAAGUCUUAGCUACUCCACUUCCUGUGCAGUUCUCUGGCUUUUGACCUAGGAAAGCAGGAGAAGCUGGACCCAGGAUUUGGGUCCCUGCCACCUAUGUGGGACACCUUGUUGAAAUUUCUGGAGUUGGUCAGGCCCAGUGCCAACCUUUGUAGUCAUUUGGGGAGUGAACUAACAGAUGGAAGAUACCUCUGUGUGUGUGUGUGUGUGUGUGUGUGUGUGUGCAUUUUUCUCCCUCCUUCUUUCUGUAACUCUACAUCUCAAAUAAAUUAAUCUUUAAAAGAAAAAAACCUUUGGGACAUGAUGGCUUUUUGAGAGCACCAAAGUACUUAUGUCUUCUUUUGACUCCGUGGGCCACUCUCUCUUUCCAGACUGGAGAAGCUGCUGAUACUAGAAUGCUGUUUCUAUGACAAUGCAGUGCAUCCGGCCUUGAGCCUGGAAGCCAGCAGAGCACAGCUGCCUCGCUGAUUACGCUGUGAGGGAAAAGGACAGUGUGAUUCUGAUGUACAGAGCGGGAGGAGAGAGCAUCACUGGAGGUGCCUGUGCUGGCUCGAGAGCCAGGCUGGGUGAGGAGCAGCAGAGCUGUGCUGUUAGCUGAGGGGCAGUGCAUGCCCUUGGGAAGCUGAGGCUCUGAGUUUGCUGCCAGCAGCAAUGUCUAAAUCCAGUUAAUCAGUGGCUUCAUGCAGUAAGUGACAUCAAUUAGUUGUACUCUAAUUGCUGCUCCAUUCUGUGUGCUCUGUGGAGCAACAUCAUGAGAACUCUAAUGCGUUGUCUCGGAUUUCCAUGGAUUUGCAGUCUUUUCCAGUGGAGCACAAGGAAAAUAGUAUAAGCUAUUUCCCCGGGAAUCAAUAGGUAAGUUACAUUGCCAUACUGGGGUGACUAGGCCCCUUCCUGGGAAGCAGCCUGUAUGUGAUUAGAACUGUGUGUGUUGUGAGUGCAAGACCUUGAAACUGAAAUUAGGAAAGUAUGUCAUUGCUAGCUGUGUGUAUGAUAAUUUUGCUCCCAGAGAAAAUAAUUCAUUUGUUUUGAAUUUUUAAUCAGGUACAUAAAAUUGACCUGAUUUGUCAAACCGAGGGAAAGGAAAUUCUGACUUCGUACCUGACUUCACCCUUUUGUUUUCCUAUCUUGCUGGUUGUAUUCUUUAAACUUCAUGUUUUCCUUUCAUGUAGAAUGUGAGCUUCAUUUAUUUAUUUGUUUGCCAAGCAGAGUAACAGAGAAAAAUCUUUCAUCUGCUGGUUCACUCUCUAGAUAACUGCAACAGCUGGUGCUGGGCCAUCCUGAAACCAGGAGCCUAGAGCUACAUCCAGGUCUCCACGUAGGUAGCACGGGAUCCAGCACUUAAGCCAUCAUCCGCUGCCUCCCAGAAGCAUGAGCAAGAAGCUGGAUCAGAAGCAGAGCAGCCAGGACUUGAACUAGGGCUCUCACAGUGGGUUAUAUGCAUCCCAAGUGGUGGCUUAGCUCUGCACUGAACACCCACCCGUUAGCUUAUUAUUUUUAUGUAUUUGGCAUUGUUAUUAUACGAAGGUGUUUGAGUUGGCUCAGCCUUCCUUGAGCUUUUCUUCUAGAUGCUCCUUUCAAGCACCGGUGAUUCUAGAAAAUCAUUCUUUAAAACUGAUUUUAAACUACAGCUGAAAAAAGAAAAUAAUCCUGAGUUCUCCUUCUGUUGACUUUUUAGAUAGCAAAGAAAACCAUGUGAGUACUGCAGAAAGAAAAGUGAUGAGCAGAUAAACUAGCAAAGGAACACAGGCCUCUUUUGUAAAUGUGUCAAAGUGUUUGAAGUGCUGGUAGGAACUCAGAAUUGGGUAGCCUAAGCAGCUGACUGCCCAUUCAUAGAGAUUUGAAUGAUUUGGAUUUAGUAUGGAUUCUCUCUUCUUUUGAACUGCUGUCUUCUUUCAUCAUUUGAUUUGCAUUAAAGUUUCCCAGGAGAACAGUUACCCUUCUUUUGUGGUUGCUUCGAUUCCGAUGUUCAGCAGCUUUUUCUUGAAGGACACUCGCUGUGUCUCUUCUUGGAAUUGCUAAGUCAUUCUAAUAGGUUUGAAAAAGUUUCUUCAGUUCUGAGGUUUAUGUCAUGUGAAACUUGAUAUCCUCCAAAAAUACAAAACCCAUAUGGUUAGUGAAGAAUAUAAUUAUUUCUGUUUGAUUUGAUUUUCAACAGACUCAUAAAAAUUAGUACCUUUGUGUGGAGUACUGUGGAAUGUCUGUUUACAUGGAUGCGCUGCGUUAUGUCCAGGCAGUGUAAACCCAUCUAUAUCCUCAAACAUGGAACAUUGCUUUAUGGGGAAAAAUAGAAACCCUUUUUCUCUGAAUCUAGAGAAAUAUAUAGUACUCUUAUUAUUAUCUGAAGUCCCCUGCUGUGUAACAGAACGUCAGAAUACCCAUUAGUCAAGCUUUGGCAACUGCUCUCAUCUAAUUCUAUUCUGCAGCCUCUAGUAUUACAAUUAUACUCUUAGCUUCUGUGAGGUCAACUUUUUUGUAUUCUACCUACCUGUGAGAUCAUAUUAGUAUUUUGAUGGGAAUCUCAUUGAAUCUAGAUUGCUUUGGUAGUAUGGACUUUUUGAUAUUAAUUCUUAAAAUCCAAGAUCAUGGAAGAUUUUUCUAUUUUUUGUGUCUUCUAUUUCUUUCAUUAUUGUUUGGUAAUAUUGUAGAGAUAUUUCAUAUCAUUGGUUAAAUUUAUCUGAAGAUAUGUAAGUUUGUUGUAGCUAUUGUGAGUGGUGCUAAUCUUCUAAGUUCUUUCUCAGCCAGAUCAUUGUGUAUACAGAUGCUGUUGGUAUUUGUGUGUUGAUUGUGUGUACUGUAACUUUGCCAAAUUUUCUUUGACAUUCCAGUAUUCUCUUAGUGGAGUCAUUUGGUUCUCACAUGUAAAGGAUUUUUUCAUCUGCACACAGGGAUAAUUUGACUUUAUCAUUUCCAAUUUGUAUCCCUUUGGUUAUUUUUUUAAAGAUUUAUUUAUUUAUUUGAAUGACAGAGUUACAGAGAGAGGUCGAGACAGAGAGAGGUCUUCCAUCCGCUGAUUCACUCCCCAGAUGGCCACAACGACCAGAGCUGUGCAGAUCUGAAGCCAGGAACCAAGAGCUUCUUCCGGGUCUCCCACCCAGGUGCAGGGGCCCAGAGACUUGGGCCAUCUUCCUCAGCUUUCCCAGGCCACAGCAGAGAGCUGGGUCGGUAGAGGAGCAACUGGGACUAGAACCGGCACCCAUAUGGGAUGCCGGCACUUCAACCCAGGCUUUAACCCACUGCGCCACAGCGCCAGCCCCAGUUAUUUUUUCAUGCCUAAUAGUUCUGGCUAAAACUUCAAAAACUGUGUUUAGUAAUAAUGGUGCGAAUAGACAUCCUUACCUGGUUCUGGAUCUUAGUGCGAAUGGAUUCAGCUUUUCCCCAUUCAUUAUGAUGCUGGCUGUGGGUUUGCCCUGUAUUGCCUUGCUAGUGUUGAGCUAUGUUCCUUCUAUAACCAAUUUUUAGUUUUUUUUGUUCAUGAAGGGAUGCUGUAUUUUCUCUGCAUCUGUUUUUUAUUUUUAAAAUAUUUAUUGUAGUUGACAACACAUAUGCUUAUAAGUUUAGCAUAAAUUAGGAAAUGCUACUGUAGAAAACGUUUAUUUACUCAUGUAUAUGGCCUUUUCCACAAGCUCAAAUUAAGGCUUUUGGGUCUUCCAGUGUGUAAACUGUUUCUUAACAAUAAUAUGACUCCAUUGCUGAAAAUGCAAGAAUUUAUAUUUUUAUUUUUAUUUUUUUAUUUAUAAAUUUUAGUUUUUUAAAAGAUUUUUAAAAAUAUUUAUUUGAGAGGCAGAAAUACAGAGAGAGAAGGGAGGGAGAGAGGGAGAGAUUGAUCUUCCAUCUACUCAUUCACUUCCCAGAUGGCCAUAGUGGCUGGGGCUGGGCUGGACCAAAGCCAGGAGCCAGGAGCUUCAUCUGUUUGUCCAACGUGGGUGCAGGGGCCCAAGGACUUGGACCAUAUUCCGCUGUUUUCUUAGGCCAUUAGCAGGGAGUUGGAUCUGAAGCAGAGCAGCUGGUACUUGAACAGGCGCCUAUAUGGGAUGCUGGCACUGCGGACAGCACCUUGAUCCCCUGUCCACAGGGCUGGCUCCUGUAGUUUUGAACAAAGUCAGUGUGGUUUACAGAUACAGUUCUAAGAACAAAAUGAUAUUCCUUUCCUCUCUGCCCCUCACCUCUGACUCUCGUGACCUCCUACCUUUUCCCUUUUUUUUUUUUUUUAGUUUUUGAGCUAAUAUAUUUUAAAUUUACAUUACAGUAAAAAGGCAUAACACUUCACUGAAUAAGAAGUUUAACAAAGUAAAAAGUACGAAAAAAAAAAAACCUAGGUUAGUGGGAAUAUAACAACAGCUAUACAGAGUAAUUGAAUGGAAAAGUGACCAUUUUACCCAAAUACAGUAAAUUAUAAAGUAAUCACAGAGGCUGGUGCUGUGGCGCAGUGGGUUAAAGCCCUGGCCUGAAGUGCCGGCAUCCCAUAUGGGUGCCAGUUCUAAUCCUGGUUGCUCCUCUUUCAAUCCAGCUCUCAGCUAUGGCCUGGGAUAGCAGAAGAAGAUGGCCCAAGUCCUUGGGUCCCUGAACCUACGUGGGAGACCUGGAAGAAGCUCCUAGCUCUUGGCUUUGGAUUGCUGCAGCUCCUGCCGUUGCAGCCAUCUGGAGAGUGAACCAGUGGAUGGAAGACCUCUCUCUCUGUCUCUACCUCUCUCUGUAACUCUUUCAAAUAAAUAAAAUAAUUCUUUAAAAAUAAAUCAUGGAUCAUUAACACUAUAGUCAUAUAAAAUACUGUUUUAAUUACUACAGCUUUGUAGUAUGCUUUGAAGUUAGGUAUUGUGAUGUCUCUGGCUUUGUUUUUAUUGUUUACAUUUGCUGUGGCUAGUUGGUAUAUUUUAUAUUUCCAUAUGGAUUUUAAGGUUGCUUUUUGUAGACCUGUGAAGAAUGUCUUUAGUAUUUUGAUUGGGAUUGCAUUGAAUCUGGAUAGUGCUUUAGGUAGCUUACAAAUUUUAAUAUUGAUUCUUCUAAUCCAUGAGCAAGUUAUAUUGCAUUUUUUGUGUGUCCUUGAUGAUUUCUUUGAUCAAUGUUUGAUAAUUUUCACUGUAGAGAUCUUUAACUUCUUUGGUUAAAUUUACUUCUAAAUAUUUGAAUGAGAUUUGUUUCUUGAUUUGUCUUCUGUGAGUUCAUCAUUAGCAUACAAAAAAGCAACUGUUUCUUAUAGGUUUAUUUUGUAACCUGCAGCUUUACUGAAUUAUCAGUUCUAACAGGUUUUUGGUGGUGUAUUCAGGUUUUCCCAUGUACAAUAUCAUGUCAUCUGCAAACGUGGAAUGUUUUGCAAAAUUCAGUAGUAAAGCCAUCAGGUCCUGGACUUUUCCUUGAUGGAAGACUUUGGUCAUAGCUUAAACCUCGUUGAUCUUUGUGGGUCUGAUUAGGUUGUCUGUAUCUUUUUUUAGUUAAUCUUUGAGAUAAUAUGAUUCCAGGAAAUUAUCCAUAUCUUCAGGGUUUUGCAAUGUAUUAGCAUAUGGUUCCUCAUAAUAUUUUCUUAGGAUCUUUUGAAUUUCAGUGGUGUUGAUUGUAAUGUCUCUUUUUUCAUCUCUAAUUUUAUUUGAGUUUUUUCUUUUUUUAAGUCUGGUUAGAGAUUUUCUUUAAUUUUGUUUAUCUUCUCAGAAAACCAACUUUUUGUUUAAAAUUUCUAUUUUUUUUUUAUUUCAAGUCCAUUAUUUCUGCUCUGAUCCUUAUUGUUUCUCACCUCCUUGUUUCUGUGUUUGGUUUGUUCUUGUUUUUCUAAGUCUUCAAGAUGCAUCAUUCUAUCUUUAUUUUUUUAAAAGAUGUAUUUAUUUAUUUAUUUGAAAAUCAGGGUUACAGAGAGAGGAGAGAGAGAUCUUUGAUCCACUGGUUUGCUCCUCAGGUGGCCACAACAGCUAGGGUUAGGCGAAGCCGAUGGCGGGAGCCAAGAACUUCUUCCAGGUCUCUCAUACAGAUAACAGAGGCCCAGGAAAUUAGACAACCUUCCAAUGCUUUUCCAAGGCCAUUAGCAGGGAGUUGGUUCAGAAGAGUAGCAGCCGGAACACGAACCGGUACAUGUAUGGGAUGUCAGCAUUGCAAACAGUGGCUUUACCUGUUACCCCAAAAUGUAAGUCCUAAAUCUUUAAUCUGUGACAUUUGACUUUUUUUAAAUGUAAGCACUUAAUGCUAUAAACUUAUCUCAUACUACUGCUUUUUCUGUAUCCCACAGGUGUUGUGUUUUCAUUUUCAUGUAUUUCAAGAAAGUUUUUGAUUUCUCCCUUUUAAUUUAUUCAGGGGCCCAUUGAUCAAUCAAUAGCAUGUUGUUUAAUUUCCAAGUGUUCUAUUGUACUAAUUGUUGAUUUCUAGUUUUAUUCCUUUAUGGUCUGAGAAGAGAUAUGGUGUGAUUUCAAUGUUUUUAAAUUUGCUGGGACUUUAUUUGUGGCCUGAUAUAUGGUCUAUCCUAGAAAAUGUUCCAUGUGCUGAUGAGAAGAAUGUGACUUCUGUAGCCUGUAAAGGUCUCUUAAGUCCGUUUACUCUUUAGUAUGUUUCAACCCCAGUGUAUCUUUAUUUUCUAUCCGGAUGAUCUGUCCCCUGAUGAGAUCGGGAUGUUGGAGUCAACCACUCCUGUUGUUUUGGAGUCUGUCCCUUUAGGUCUGAUAGUUUUUUCUGUGUUUAUCUGGGUAAUCUUGUGUUAGGCACAUAUAUAUCUUUAUUAUAUGUCUUUUUGCUGAAUUGACCCUUUUAUCAAAAUAUACUGUCCUUUUUUAAAUCUCUUUUUAAAGUUUUUAAAGUAUGUUUUACUUUUUUUAUGAUAUCCGGAUGACAUCUCCUACUUGCUUUUUAUUUCCGUUUGCCUGGAAUAUCGUUUUACAGCUUUUCACUAUUAGUCUGUGUGUAUCUGUGAAGUGAGUUUCUUCUAGGUAGUGAACAGUGGGGUCAUGGUUGUUUUGUUUUGUUUUGUUUUGUUUUGUUUUGUUUUUAAUCCAUUCUGCCAACCUAAGUCUUUUGGUUGGUGAAUCUGAUCCAUUUGCAUUCAUUGUUAGUGUGCAUAGAUAAUAACUAAGACAUGUAAUUUUGUUGAGUGGAUAAUGGUUCUGCUUGCUCUGUUAGUGAGUGUGGUGAUGUCAUGUGUUUUCAUAUUUAUAUCUAAUGCAGAAUACCUUAUAAUUUCUUAUAAGGCUGAUUUGGUACUGGUGAAUUAGAGAGAGAAGGAGAGGCAGAGAGAGAGAGGUCUUCAUCUGCUGGUUCACUCCCCAACUGGCCACAAAGGCUGGAGCUGCGCCGAUCCGAUGCCAGGAGCCAGGAGCUUUUUCUGAGUCUCCUACGUGGGUGCAGGGCCCCAAGGAGUUGAACCAUCUUCUACUGCUUUCCCAGGCCAUAGCAGAGAGCUGUAUCUCAAGUGGAUCGAGCCGAGAGUUGAACUGGUGUCCAUAUGGGAUGCCGGCACUGAAGGUGGAGGUUUUAGCUGCUACACCACAGUGCCAACCCCUCUCUUUCACUCUUGACGGAUAACUUUGCAGAAUAGUAAUCUUGCUUGGAAGUUUUUUUGUUUUGUUUUAAGACCUUGAAUAUAUCAUCUCAUUCAUUUCAUACCUGUAGGGUUUCCACUGAGAAGUCUGAUAUUAAUCUAAUUGAUUUUCCCUUAUAUGUAACUUGAUACUUUUCUUUUACUGUCUUUAAGAUUCUCUCCUUGUCUUCAACUUUUGACAAUUUGAUGAAAAUGUGCCUUUUUUUAAAAGAUUAAUUUUAUGUAUUUGAAAGAGUUACAGAGAGAGGUAGAGAGAGAGAGGGCCUCCAUCCGUUGGUUCACUCCCUAGAUGGCCACAAUGGCAGAAGCUGCGCCGAUUCGAAGCCAGGAGCUAGGAGCUUCUUCUGGGUCUCCCACAUGGGUGCAGGGGCCCAAGGACUUGGGCCAUCCUCCACAGCUAUCCCGUAGGCCGUAGCAGAGAGCUGGAUUGGAAGAGGAGCAGCCGGGACUAGAACCGGUGCCCACAUGGGAUGCCGGCGCUUCAGGCCAGGGCUUUAACCUGCUGUGCCACAGUGCCAGCCCUGAAAAUAUGCCUUAAAAAAAACUUUUUUGAUGGAGUCUACUUGGGGUUUUUUGCACUUCAUGUAUCUGGGUGUCCAUGUCUCUUUGAAGACAUGGAAAGUUUUUGAGUGUUAUAUCGUUUAACAGGUUCUCAAUGCAUUUUUUCUUCUCCCUGAGGCAAACCUAUAAUAUGAAUAUUUGGUUUUUAAUGGUAUCCCAUGUUUUGUGUCGACUUUCUUCAUUCUUUUUAAUUCUUUUCUCUUUAUUUUGGUCUCUUUGGGUUAUUUCAAAAUUCUUGUCCUCAAGGUCAGAAAUUCUUUACUCCAUUCGGUUUAUCCUGUUGUUAAAGCUCUCAGUCAUGUUUUUUUAGUUCACUGAUGGAUGAUUUCAUCUCCAAAAUUUCUGUUUGGCUUUUUUGUAAUGAGUUCUUCCUCCUUCCUUAGUCAUGUUUUCAUUCGUCUCACACAUUGAUUUCCUCAUUUUUAAAUCUGUCUUUCUGUAUUCUCUUGCAUCUUGUUGAAGGUCCUUGAAGUCAUUAUUAUGAAUCUGUUUCUGUUGUUGCAUAGAUUUUCUUCAAUUCAAGGUCUAGAGGAUUAUUGUGUUCUUUUGUAGAAAUCAUGCUACCUUGCUUCUUCAUGUCUCCUGUGUUCCUAUGUAGACAUCUGUGCAUCUGGUGUACUUGUCCCUUCUUUAUGGGAUAGGUUUUAUUGUAAAUGAGUUUAUAGUUUAGCUGGAAUACAGGAUAUCACUUGGCUUAUUGCUUUGUGUUUGGUUUAAGUGGAUAGAACCAAAGGAGAAUAGUCUGUGAGUGAUUUAUUUUGCCUUAAUCGAUGUCUUAAUCAUGUCCCCUGUGUCCCUACAUUGACAUCUGUGCAUCUGAUGUAUUCAUCCUUUCUUUAUGGGGUAGGUUGUAUUAGAAGAGUUUAUGAUUUAGCUGGAAGGCAGGGUAUCACUUGGCUUGUUGCUUUGCCUUUAGUUCUAUGUGAGUAGAAGCAGCAGUGUAGUCUCUAAGUGAUUUUUUUUCUUAAUCAGCGUCAGCCGUGUCUAAGUGACACAGUGGUCUAUACUGCUGCUGCAGUUCAUAGGAACAGAUGUAUAUAGAAGUGUGGCAUUGAGAUGAAUAUGGGUUACCUCAGUGUGUGUCUUUGGUCCACAGAGAAUUCAGUGUCAGUGUACCUGCUGAAUGUGAUAGCCAGGACCUUGUUUUGGUGCUAAGGGAGACAUGGGUGGCUACCUCCUUGUCCUCCUGUUAAUAAGCCUGAAUGAUGCUGGUGCUUGUGGCACCAAUUGUUACGGCUCUGACUGCGUGAUGCAGAAGGACCCUUCCUGAGGCAAUUCCAUGAAAGUCCAGCUGGUGCUGUGGCUUGUAACGCUGACCUCCCUAGUUACAGGACUACAGGGUGUGAACUUAAUACUGUUCCAGGCCUCAGGGUGACCACAAGCUAUACAGGAAGGUUUAAUCUAGAGGAUAUGAGUCCAGAGAGGUGGAAUGCAGGUAGGUUCUUCCCUGUGUCCACUGGUUAGAUUGCAGUGGCAUCAAGAAAUUUAAAAUGAAUGGUUACAGUCCUGGAAUUAUAGGGUAUAGUAGCAUCAAUACCCAGAUCUCCCAGGGUGGGAGAGGACAUUUUUAUGGGCUCCUUCCAGUGUUAACCCCCAGAAGCUAAGGUGAAUUCCCCUGUGAGCAUAGCUCUGGGGCUAAUGCCCACAAAGUUCCCCAGUUGCAGGAUGCUGGGAAUCUGUCCUUCGCCUUAUGCAUUGCUCUAAGAUGAUGGUAGAUGCGGAACACAGCUGUGUUGCUUGACAUCAUGCUGCUGAGUAUGGCUCUUGUGCAGUUUAGGAAGGGGAGGAAAGAAAUGUGGCUUCCCUUUUCCAACCCCAGCUGUUGCUCAGACCCCAGUCAGCUCCCCAGGCUAAAGUAAAAGUCAGUGGGUGGCUGUGGAAUUUUCCCUUUUGGUAAAACUAUGAGCAGUGGGGUGCACAGCAGUUUCUUCCUAUGUUGAUGUGGUAAGAUGGAAGCUCAAAGCCAGCAGCUGGCUGCACUGCACAGCUAGCUACAGUGGGGUGUCUGUCUUCUCUUAGCCGGAGGGGUCUUUGUUUUCUUCCUCCCUUCCCUCCCUUCCCUGCCUCCCUCCCUGAAAAUUUUUGUCAGUCAGACCCCUGGAAGCAUUGUCUUUUAUUUGUUCUUUUCAUAUGCCAGGGCAGCUUAAGUUGAUAUGGCUAUAUUCUAUUCAGCUAUCUUGGAUCUGCCCCUCUGUAUCUAUUGAGAUAGUUGUAAGAUUUUUAUCCUCGAUUUUGUUGAUGUGAUGUAUUGUGUUUGUGGACGUAUGUAUGUUGAAGUAUACCUGCAUCUCUGGGAUAAAUUCCACUUGGUUGGGUGGAUGAUCUUUUGGAUGUGUUGUUGGAUUCAAUUAGCUAGUGUUUUGUUGACAGCUGUUGCAUCUGUGUUCAUCAGGGAUAUUGGUCUAUAGUUCUAUAUCUUUGUUUUAUCUUUCUCUAGUUUUGGAAUUAAAGUGAUGUUGUCAUAGAAUAUAAAUAGAGAAAGGUACUCAGCAUCAAGAAAGGAUGUGAUGGCAAAAAAUCUAGUAAAACAAAGGAGAUUCAAAACAAUAAAUAGGAAUUUUCAUGGAAAAAUGGCAGGACCAAAUCAUUGCUUAAUAAUAAUGUUGAAUGUAAGUGAACUAAAUUCUCCAAUUAAAUAUACAGAUUUUCUGAGUAUAUUGUUAGAUCAUUUAUUUGAUACCUUUCCAAUUUUUGGUGUAGGCACUUACUGCUAUAAACUUUGUUCUAACACUGCUUUCGUUCUAUCAGAUAAGUUUUGAAAUGUUAGGGUUGUCAUUGUCGUUUAUUUCUUGAGAUUUUUUAAAUUUCCCUUUUGAUUUCUUCUAUUUACCACUGUUCAUUCAAUGGUUUGUUGCUCAGUUUCUAUGUGUUUAUACAUUUUCUAGAGUUUGUUUUGUUGUUGAUUUCCAGCUUCAUUCCAUUGUGGUCAGAAGAGAUAUACUAUAUGAUUUCAGAUUUUUUUAAAUUGUUUUAAACCUGUUUUAUGGCCUAGUAUAUGAUCAAUUCUUGAGAAUAUUCCAUGCACUGAUGAAAAGAGUGUAUACCUGCUGUGGGAUGAAAUGGUCUGUAGUAUAGACGAACUGCUGUUAUAUUUCUUUGUUGAUAUUUUUUCUGCCUGGUCUGUCCUUUGAGGAAAGUGGGGUAUUGAAGUCCCCCAUUAUUAUUGUAUUGGAUUUUGUGUGUCCCUUUAGAUUCACUAGCAUUUAUUUCAUAAAAGUGGGUACCAUUACAUUGGGUGCAUCUACAUUUACUAUAGUCCCAUUUUCUUGUUGAAUUGAUUGCUUACUUAAUACUUAAUAACCUUCUUUGUGUUUUUUAAUGGUUCUGUUUUGAAGUGUAUUUUAUGUGACAUGUAAAUGGCUCCUCUUGCUCAUUUUUUUGAUUACCAUUUGCAUGUAAUGGCUUUUUCCAUUCUUGCAUGUUCAGUCCUUGUAUAUCUUUAUUGAUGGGAGGGUGUUUCUUGUAGGCAUCAUAUUGAUGGGUCUGUGUUUAUUAAUACAUUCAGCCAGUCUCUAUCUUUAACUUGGAGAAUUUAGUCCAUUUACAUUCAAGGUUGUUAUUGAGAAGUAAUGACUUAAUCAUUUAUCCAUGAAUAUUCAUGUUUGUUUUAUAUCUCCUUUGUCCUUUUACUAGCACAAUUUUCUGUCUUCAUGUUGAUUAUUGAUACUGAGUGCCUUUUUCUGUUUCUGUGUAGUAUAUCCUUCAAUAUCUUUCCUAAGUCUUUCCAGACGGGGACAAAUCCUUUCAGUUUUUGUUUGUCUUGAAAGGUCUUUAUUUCACUUUCAUUUGUCAGUAUUCUGGGUAGAUAGUUUUUUCUUUGAGGAUUUGGACUUCAUCUCUCUGUUCUUUCCUGGCCUGUAGGGUUUCUGUUGAGAAAUCUAUUAAUCUGAUUAAAUUUAUCCUUUAAAUGUAAUAAGAUGUUUUUGUCUUGCACAUUUUAGAAUAUUCUCUUUAUGUUUUACUUUUGAAAGUUUGAUUAUAACGUGUCAUGAUGAGGAUCUUUUCUGAUCAAGUCUAUUUAGGGUUCUUUGUACUUCCUGUAUUUUGCUGAGUAAGUUCUCUAAGUUGUUUUUUCUAUACCUUCAGGAAUGGAAGACUAAGAUUCAUAUGUUUGGCCGGCACUGUGGCUCAAUAGGCUAAUCCUCCGCCUGCAGCUCCGGCACUCCAGGUUCUAGUCCCAGUCAGGGUGUCGGAUUCUGUCCCAGUCGCUCCUCUUCCAGUCCAGCUCUCUGCUGUGGAGGAUGGCCCACAUACUUGGGCCCUGCACCUGCAUGGGAGACUAGGAGAAGUACCUGGCUCCUGGCUUUGGAUCAGCAUGGUGUGCCGGCUGCAGCAGCCAUUGGAUGAUGAACCAAUGGUAAAGGAAGACCUUUCUCUCUGUCUCUCUCUCUCACUGUCCACUCUGCCUGUCAAAAAAAAAAAAAUCAUGUUUGUUCCUUUGAUGGUAUCCCAAUAAAUCCUGAACACUAUUUUCAAUCUGAUUGUUUCUUCUCUUUGGUGUGACUAAGAUACUUUAAAAGACCUGCCUUCUAGGCCAGCACUGUGGUUCACUAGGCUAAUCCUCUGCCUGUGGUGCCAGCACAUUGGGUUCUUGUCCCAGUCGGGCCGCCGGAUUCUGUCCUGGUUGCUCCUCUUUCUGUCCAGCUCUCUGCUGUGGCCCAGGAGUGCAGUGAAGGAUGGCCCAAGUGCUUGGGCCCUGCACCUGCAUGGGAGACCAGGAGAAGCACCUGGCUCCUGCCAUCGGAUCAGCACGAUGCGCUGCGGCGGCCAUUGCGGGAGUGAACCAACGGAAAAGGAAGACCUUUCUCUCUCUCUCUUUCUCUCUCACUGUCCACUCUGCCUGUCAAAAAAAAAAAAAAAAAAAAGAACACCUGUCUUCUAGAUCAGAUAUUCAUUUUUCUGCCUCACUAUAUCUGUUGUUGAGGCUCUCAGUUGUAUUUUUUACUUGACUUGCUACUACUCAUUUCAAAUAUUUUUUCUGAUUUUUUUUCUUCAGUAUCCCUAGCUCUUUGCAGAAUUUUUUGGCAUGUAACAUACAGAUUUCUUUUUUUCAUGUGACUGUUUCCAUAUGUUCUUGAGUAAGCUUUCAGUCAUUCCUUUGAGUCCAUAUUAAUGUAUUAUUUUGUUCUUUUUGGGGGAAUCUUAUUUUGCCUUCCUUGUUUACAUUUCUUGUGUUUCUACGUUGGAUUUUAUGCACCCGGUCAAUCACUUGUUAUCUCCUCCAGAGAAUGGGCUUCUUUAUUUUGGAUUGAAGGCUUUAUUCUGGGAAAUAGGCCUCUGUAGCUUUGUGGAGUACUAAGGCUUACAUUUGAGUUUUAGGGAUGUGUUCUGGGUGGGGCCGGGGAGCUCUGGCCACUGCUUGUGGGUGGGGCUAGAGUCCAAAAUAAGAGCCAUGUUGGGUGUGGGUCUAGCUACACUCAGUAGGGGGAUGAAAUAUUAGAACCAGUACUCCUCUGUGCCUGUAUGAACCAGCUGAUUCCAGCCUAGAGAGAGCUCAUAGUGCCUAUGCAUUCCACCCACCUGAACAUGAGCACUGUACAGAGCAGUGACCUGUUCUGUAGUGUGGCCCUGUUCCCCAGUGAACUGUUUGUCUGGCAUGCAGGGAGUUCUCGGUGUCCACUGUCAGACCAUGUAGGGGUACAGAAACCCAACCAGCACCUUUGUCCCUCUCAUAUCCAAGCCCUGUGCCCACAGCUGUACAGUUUCAGGGUACAGUGAGUCUGUGAUCUCUGUGAGCUGGCCCAUCCUUGGUGUGGGCUGCUUGCCAUUCCCAGGGUCAGAGCAGAGAUUGGCUAUAGCGCCACGUCAGCAGACUGAGUAUGGCUCUUAGGCAGAGCGAGAGGGGAAGAAGCUACAUGGCCUCCCUUUGCAGAGCAAAGUAGGUGUUUAGCUCCCUCCCUGUUCCCAGGCGGGACUCAAAUCCAGUGAGGGCCGUGGACUUCUUCAGUCAAAGCCACCAGUGCCAAAGGCUGUAGCCGCCACCUCUUGCUUUGCCUGAGAAGAUGGCACAUUCCAGCUGGGUGCCAGUCAGGAAUACACAGCCGCUGUGUGCCUGUCCUCUCUCCUCACUGCUUUACAGAGGCUCUCUUCUGUCCUGACUGUUCUGCACUGGAAAUGUCUCCGAAUCAGUCCCCUGGGAACGGGGUCCUCCCUUUGUUUUUCUAGUAUCUGUCUGUGUCUUAGGUCAGUACAGCAUCUCCAUAUUCAGCCAUGUUGAAUCUGGAAUGUUGGUCUUAAAAUCUUUUUAAUUGAGACACACACCAAAAAAAACACACAUGGAGAUGCUGACAGACAAUUCCCACUCCCCGCUCCACUCCCCAGAAGCUGGCAAUAGCCAGGACUGGAUGGACACUGAAACUGGGAGUAGGGAACUCAAUCCAAGCUUCCCACAUGGGUGGCAGGGAAUCUGCUCCUAGAGCUGUGAGUGCUGCCUCCCAGAGUCUGUUAGCAGAGAGCUGGAGGCAGGAGUUGGAGCUAGGGAUCAAAUUGUGUACUCCAAAGUGGGGAGCUGAUGUUUAAAUCAACAUCUUAACAGGUAAGCCAGAGCCUGCUCCCUUUGAAAGUCUUUUUAUGUUGCGGUCAUGUUUCCAGCUCUUUGAUUUGGAUGUGGUCUUCUUACUGUAGAUAUGUGGGAGUCCCUCAUCGGGAUUUCCAGCCAUAUUCUCUCAAUACAACAGCAGUGUUACCAUCACCAAGCCCAUCAGUGAAGAGUAAUAAUUCAUGUGUGCCUGUGUAUCAUCAGUGCAUGAUAUUGGCUCUUGAUUAAAGAUAAGCAGUUGUGAUGAGUCUUGGAAUAGGCCUUUCGAAGAUAGUGGAUGGUAUUCGGAUGAGCCAUUUUGAAAACAGCUUCACAGGAAGAUGUCCUGCAGUUUCAUUUCCCAUCUGGAGGGUUCCUUUGAAGUGGGAGCUGACCCUGACAUGAAGCAGUUGCAGACUCUGAGCCUGCCCAGUUGUUUUUGGCAUCUUUGCUGACUAAUUCUCCCUUAGAGCAAGGCUCCCAGACGUGUGCCAGCUCGCGUGGCCCCACAGCCUUUGUAGAACAAGCAGAGUAGCUUAAUUGCACAAAAUCAGGGCAAGUGGAUUUCCUGCUGGUGUUCUUUUUUUUUUUUAAUUAAUUAAUUUUUUUGACAGGCAGAGUUAGAGAGAGAAAGGUCUUCCUUCUGUUGGUU